GAUGAACGCUAGCUACAGGCUUAACACAUGCAAGUCGAGGGGCAGCAUGGUCUUAGCUUGCUAAGGCCGAUGGCGACCGGCGCACGGGUGAGUAACACGUAUCCAACCUGCCGUCUACUCUUGGACAGCCUUCUGAAAGGAAGAUUAAUACAAGAUGGCAUCAUGAGUCCGCAUGUUCACAUGAUUAAAGGUAUUCCGGUAGACGAUGGGGAUGCGUUCCAUUAGAUAGUAGGCGGGGUAACGGCCCACCUAGUCUUCGAUGGAUAGGGGUUCUGAGAGGAAGGUCCCCCACAUUGGAACUGAGACCCGGUCCAAACUCCUACGGGAGGCAGCAGUGAGGAAUAUUGGUCAAUGGGCGAGAGCCUGAACCAGCCAAGUAGCGUGAAGGAUGACUGCCCUAUGGGUUGUAAACUUCUUUUAUAAAGGAAUAAAGUCGGGUAUGGAUACCCGUUUGCAUGUACUUUAUGAAUAAGGAUCGGCUAACUCCGUG
rnacentral:rRNA from 1 species